ACGGUCGCAAAGAAAUAUACAAUGUACAGCCGCUGCUCUCUCUUCUCUCCUCUUCUCCAAACUCCACUUCUUCUUGUUCUUCCUAUUCUUUCUCUCUUUGUGAUGGCACAUAUGGCGUGAACUUCCGGUGAGAUUGUUUUUCAUAUUCUUCUUGUUCUUUGUUAUCGUUAUGAUAAUUUUUCAUUUUUUUUUUCUAACAUUGAUUUUAUUUAUUUUUUCAUAGAUAAUUUUCUCCUAUUAAUCUUGUGUUGUUUUCUCUCCACUAGAUCUAUGAGGAGCGAAACAAAAAUUGAUUCGUGGACUAACUUCAUAGGUGUGACUGAAUGGAAAUCAUCAGUGAUCGCUUUUUCUAUUCCUUUGAAGUGCUUUUAUCUAUUUUUCUUGUUGACAAUUUUGAACGUAAUCUCUGAUUUAACGACCAUGAUUUCUUUGAUUAUUAGAUAUAGAUAAAAUUGCGAGCAUAAGAUGACCUGAUUUUGUCUUGUAUUUUAAAAAGGUAUAAAAUAAUGAAAUUUAUAUAUUUUCAGCUUCUUUAUUUAUUAGUGUAGUUAAAUUUAAAUUUAUUUCUUUAAUUUAUAUAAGUAACAUAAUUUUUUUUAUUUGAAUUUGCUGCAUGUCAAAACAUGGUCUAGUAAGUGUCUUGAAAUUUUAUAUACAAUUUCCAGUUAUAUUAGUACUAUGUGGUAUGACUUAUAUAAUAUAUGAAUAUUACUUAUAUAGGUGGAGGAGAAGAAAAGAGGAAGGCAAAUUAAAAACGCGGUGAUUAGAUAGAUUUCCGUUUUUUUGAACAGGUAAGUAUGGAUCUAAUCUAAGAGUAAGUUUGGUUAAGAUUAUUAAAAAACACAUUUUUUUAUAUUUUGACUAAGUUCUGUUUGUGUAUAAAUUUUGUAAAAAUAUAUUUUGUCAAAAAAUUUACUUAUAUGUUGAAAAUAAUUUUUUUUCGUUAAUUAGCUUUUGAAGAAAAACAUUUUUAAUAGAAGAGAAGGUAAUACAAAAUCUCUUUCAUAAUUUUAACCAUACACAAUAGUUUAUGUUAUUCUUUUAUUUUUCACAAGUAGAUUAUAGAUUAUGAUAUUCUUUAAAAUAUCUAAAUUAUUUAAUAUUAAAAUCAGUUUUCUUUUUGAUCUACAUUCUUGCCUUUAUUUUCCUUGAUUAUAUUAAAUAAAGUUUCUAAGAAAGUUUCAUGUUAUUGUAAUAUUCGAAACAUAGUUAUUCAUGAAUUAAUUUAGCGUUUAAAAUGUUAUAUAUAAUGUAUAUCACAUUAAGUAGCAAGUUGUUGACUUUCUCAUUAUGCUGUUAGUAUUUGGGGAGCUUCAUAAAGAAUGAAAUUAAUCACCUUUGGCUUUAAAAGAAAUUUUUUGUUGGAGGUUAAUUGUGUAGACUACUCCAUAAACAAUUAUAGAAAACUUUAAUCGUCGUGAAUACCAAAUUUAUUGAAGAUAUAUAUAAAAAAAUGCCAAUUUAUCACGAUUCAUAUUAAAAAAAUUAAAUAAUAAAAAUUUAUAUAUUAUUAUUUGCUAAAUUUUUUGUAGCCAUAUAUCUCAAAACAUCACGUGUUUGAUUAUCAACCCGUAUGUUCAUUUCAAUUGUCCAAUUCUUUGCUCUUUCUCUCACAGAAAAUAUUUGAGUUUCAAGUGGAGUAACAAACACCUUUUUCUCAAGAUUUUAUUUCUUAGAAGGAAUGUUUUAAGAGGUGGUUGUUACUCGACUUGAAGCUCGAAGAUUUUCUGAGAGUGGAAGAGCAUAGAAUUGGACUAUUGAAUUGAGUAAAUUGAUUGAUAAUGGAACACGAGAUGUUUUAAGAUAUGGCUACAAAUUUUUUAGGAAAUAAUAAAAUGAUUUUUUAUUAAUUAGUUUUUACUAUUACUAUGAAUUAUGAUAAAUUAGUAAUUUUUUUAUACAUCUUUAUAAAUUUGGUAUUUCAUGACAACUAAAAUUUUGUAUAAUUGUUUAGGCAGUAUUCUAUACAAUUACCCUCGAACAAAAACUUUCGUUCAAAGAUAGAAGUGAUUAAUUUCGUUCUUUAUGAAGCUCCUUCAAAUACUAACAAUAAGAAGAGAAAGUUGGUUGAACUUUCUACUGAAUUUGAUAUAUAUCAUGUUUAACAUUUCAAACAAUGAAUUAAUUAAAGCUUAAAUAUGAUUUUGGUCCUUGUAAAUAUGACUCAUUUUGAUUUUUGUCCCUUUAAAAAAACAUUUGAUUUAUACCCCUGUAAAAAAACUUGUUCUACCAAAAUAAUGUUGUACUGAAAUCCCUCAAAUUACAGAGAAGAAGAUCUAGAAAAUAGAAUGAUUUCCGAAAGAAAUUAAGAAGCAUGAGACAGAGGUUAGUUGAACUUUAUAGGAUAAAUGUAUGAAACUAGAUGAAGGGGAAAAGGAGGAUGUUGGAACUUUUGAGGACAUAUAUACAGAUGAGCUUGAGUAAAAUGACAAUUGGUUCUGUUUAUCGCUUUAAUAUAUUCAGCGUCUGUCUUGCUGCAUCACAUGCUAUAACAUUUUGUGUAACAUUGUGUUCACUGCGUACCAGAUUUCAAAGGUAUUAAGAUCAUUAAAUCCAAAAUUUGAUUUCAUAGUAGUAGCCUUACAAGAAGCAAAAUAUGUGAAAACUAUGAAGAUCAAAGAAUUGCAAAGUUCAUUAAAGAAUACAUUAACUUAUGGUGGUU
rnacentral:lncRNA from 1 species